GGGCAAUUGAUAAGAAUGCCUGGACAUAUAAAUACACGCAACUCCGCUUCAUAACUUUUCGAAAAUACGGUUCAUUUGUGAUGUGCAGAAUGAAGAAUUUGUUUGCUAUCUUACCGAUACUCUUGGUUUUAUUUAGCAUUGUGAAAGGUGAUUCAAUUGAAGAUGAAUUUGAUGCACUACGACAAAAGGUGAUGACCGAGAUCAACGGAAUAAAACAAGCAUUAAAAAAAGUUUCAAAUGAUCGAUUAGAACUGGCUCGCAAUAUGCAAUUUGCUUGUAACUCUAAAGAGUUUUAUCGGAAGAUGAAGCACAACAUGAGAAAUUUAAUGGGUAGAUUUGCUAACAUCUCUGUGGAAAGGAAUUUAAUAGAUCAAUUACGAACGAAUGAAGUUGCAGAGGGAAAGGCUACAACACUGAAUGGUGGAAAACUUGAAGUGGCCAAUUACAUUGAUGCAGCUGGGCAAGUCCGAUCUCUUCAUAGUUUGCUCGACGCCAUAGAAACGGAAAUGUGGAAGCAAAGAUUUAACCGUCAGAUCACGGAACGAAAAGUUCAUAAACUGAAAAAGAAAAUGGAUUCGAGUAGAAUCCAUUUGAUACUGGAUCGAUUGGCGGCUGUUGGGAUGGACAAUAAUGCUGGCAUUAUUGUACCCACAUAACUGUAAAUUGGAGUGUACAGAAAUACUUACUUACAGAUUGAACACCAUUAAAUUGGUCAAUACAGUGUAUGAACACGAUAAUAACUAACAACUAUGUGUACUCCAUUGACACAAAUUUCAGGUAUUCGGAACAAUGCUUCAAGACUAAAUACUCACACAUUUUAGUCUCGGUCGUAACUAUCCUGAAAUGUGGACACGGACUGUUUAAGUAAUUAUUUAUCUUGAAGCUAGAUUCUCUGGAAAUAUGCAAUGGUAGCUAGCUGGGAGAGUUUAUUAACCAUUAAUUAAGGCAAUAUUAUGUUCUCGGUAUCACUACUCUGAUUAAAAUUUGAUCUUUAUUUCA